rnacentral:rRNA from 1 species
GAGUUUGAUCCUGGCUCAGGAUGAACGCUGGCGGCGUGCUUAACACAUGCAAGUCAAACGAAGAAGUUUUAGUUUACUAGAACAACUGAGUGGCGGACGGGUGAGUAACGCGUGGGUAACCUGCCCUAUGGAGGGGGACAACAGUGGGAAACUGCUGCUAAUACCGCAUACCUUAUUAAGAUUGCAUGGUCAUAAUAAGAAAGAGUUAUCGCCAUAGGAUGGGCCCGCGUCUGAUUAGCCAGUUGGUAGGGUAACGGCCUACCAAAGCAACGAUCAGUAGCCGGCCUGAGAGGGUGAACGGCCACAUUGGGACUGAGACACGGCCCAGACUCCUACGGGAGGCAGCAGUGGGGGAUAUUGCACAAUGGGGGGAACCCUGAUGCAGCAACGCCGCGUGAGUGAAGAAGUAUUUCGGUAUGUAAAGCUCUAUCAGCAGGGGAGAUGAUGACGGUACCUGCAUAAGAAGCCCCGGCUAACUACGUGCCAGCAGCCGCGGUAAUACGUAGGGGGCAAGCGUUAUCCGGAUUUACUGGGUGUAAAGGGAGUGUAGGCGGUACGGCAAGUCUGAUGUGAAAACCCUAAGCUCAACUAAGGGAGUGCAUUGGAAACUGUCGGACUAGAGUGUGGGAGAGGCAGGCGGAAUUCCUAGUGUAGCGGUGAAAUGCGUA